AUCCAGCUGACGAGUCCCAAAUAAGACGAAACGCGUCUUGUCUUAGAU
rfam:Schistosoma mansoni strain Puerto Rico chromosome W, complete genome